CCCCAGAAGCUGAUCCGUAAAGUGUCCACCUCUGGACAGAUGGGGACCAAGGAAUCAGAGAGGAUGCCUGGGCCUGCAGCUAACACCACCCUCAGGGCUUCGCAGGAGGAGCUGUCCCUGGGGCCAGUGUGGUUUGCCCCACUGCUGCAGGACCUGGAGAGGAUUCAUCCUACAGUGAAUCAGAACAGAAGGGGCCCCAGAAGCUGAUCCAUAAAGUGUCCACCUCUGAACAGAUGGGGACCAAGGAAUCAGAGAGGAUGCCUGGGCCUGCAGCCAGCACCACCCUCAGGGCUUCGCAGGAGGAGCUGUCCCUGGGGCCAGUGUGGUUUGCCCCACUGCUGCAGGACCUGGAGAGGAUUCAUCCUACAGUGAAUCGGAGCAUGAGGGGCCCCAGAAGCUGAUCCAUAAAGUGUCCACCUCUGAACAGAUGGGGACCAAGGAAUCAGAGAGGAUGCCUGGGCCUGCAGCCAGCACCACCCUCAAGGCCUUGCAGGAGGAGCUGUCCCUGGGGCCAGAGAGUUUUCCACUGCUGCAGGACCUGGAGAGGAUUCGUUCGAGAGUGAAUCGGAGCAUGAGGGGCCCCAGAAGCUGAUCCGUAAAGUGUCCACCUCUGGACAGAUGGGGACCAAGGAAUCAGAGAGGAUGCCUGGGCCUGCAGCCAGCACCACCCUCAAGGCCUUGCAGGAGGAGCUGUCCCUGGGGCCAGAGAGUUUUCCACUGCUGCAGGACCUGGAGAGGAUUCGUUCGAGAGUGAAUCGGAGCAUGAGGGGCCCCAGAAGCUGAUCCGUAAAGUGUCCACCUCUGGACAGAUGGGGACCAAGGAAUCAGAGAGGAUGCCUGGGCCUGCAGCCAGCACCACCCUCAAGGCCUUGCAGGAGGAGCUGUCCCUGGGGCCAGAGAGUUUUCCACUGCUGCAGGACCUGGAGAGGAUUCGUUCGAGAGUGAAUCGGAGCAUGAGGGGCCCCAGAAGCUGAUCCGUAAAGUGUCCACCUCUGGACAGAUGGGGACCAAGAAGCAUAAGAGGUCAUCCUGGUGUGGAGGCAUGGCUGCAUGAGGCAGGCAUAGCAGUAGAAGCAGGAAGCUGCAGCAUGAUGCA